rnacentral:tRNA from 1 species
UCGUGGCCGAGUGGUUUAAGGCACCGGACUCAUAAUCCGUUUUCCUCUGGAUAUCACUGGUUCAAAUCCAGUCGGGUG